AGCGAACGCUGGCGGCAGGCCUAACACAUGCAAGUCGAGGGGCCGUAGCAAUACGGCACCGGCAGACGGGAGAGUAACACGUGGGAACGUGCCCUUCAGUUCGGAACAACCCAGGGAAACUUGGGCUAAUACCGGAUACGCCCUUACGGGGAAAGAUUUAUCGCUGAAGGAGCGGCCCGCGUCUGAUUAGCUUGUUGGUGAGGUAACGGCUCAUCAAGGCGACGAUCAGUAGCUGGUCUGAGAGGAUGAUCAGCCUCACUGGGACUGAGACACGGCCCAGACUCCUACGGGAGGCAGCAGUGGGGAAUAUUGGACAAUGGGCGCAAGCCUGAUCCAGCCAUGCCGCGUGGAUGAUGAAGGCCCUAGGGUUGUAAAGUCCUUUCGACGGGGAAGAUAAUGACGGUACCCGUAGAAGAAGCCCCGGCUAACUUCGUGCCAGCCGCCGCGGUAACAC
rnacentral:rRNA from 1 species